AUCCAGGUGACGAAUCCCAAAUAGGACGAAGUUGAAUGCAUCCUGGAU
rfam:Schistosoma haematobium scaffold347_37, whole genome shotgun sequence.